rnacentral:tRNA from 1 species
UCCUUGGUGGUCCAGUGGUUAAGACUCCAGUCUUCUAUUGCAGGAGGUCUGGGUUUGAUCCCUGGUCAAGGAA